GAGCACGUAGGUGGGUUUGUAAGUCAGAUGUGAAAGCCUUCUGUUCAACGGGAGGAUUGCAUCUGAAACUGCUAAUCUUGAGUAUAGGAGGGGAGAAUGGAACUUCUGGUGGAGCGGUGAAAUGCGUAGAUAUCAGAAGGAACGCCGGCGGCGAAAGCGAUUCUCUGGCCUAUUACUGACACUCAGUGUGCGAAAGCUAGGGGAGCAAACGGGAUUAGAUACCCCGGUAGUCCUAGCCGUAAACGAUGGGCACUAAGUAGAGGGGAUUACCUAUGUUCUCUCUGCCGUAGCUAACGCAUUAAGUGCCCCGCCUGGGGAGUACGGCCGCAAGGCUAAAACUCAAAAGAAUUGACGGGGGCUCGCACAAGCGGUGGAGCAUGUGGCUUAAUUCGAUGCAACGCGAAAAACCUUACCGGGGCUUGACAUGAUAGAAGUAGGAACCUGAAAGGGGGACGAACGGUAUCCAGUCCGUAGCUAUUACAGGUGUUGCAUGGCUGUCGUCAGCUCGUGUCGUGAGACGUUGGGUUAAGUCCCCUAACGAGCGAAACCCUUGUUUUUAGUUACCAGCGGGUUAUGCCGGGUACUCUAGAAAGACUGCCGUCGUCAAGACGGAGGAAGGUGGGGAUGACGUCAAGUCAUCAUGGCCCUUAUGCCCCGGGCUGCACACGUGCUACAAUGGUCGGUACAGACGGAAGCGAAGCCGAGAGGUGAAGCGAAUCC
rnacentral:rRNA from 1 species